UCGUCACACUAUCAUUAACUGAAUCCAUAGGUUAAUGAGGCGAACCGGGGGAACUGAAACAUCUAAGUACCCCGAGGAAAAGAAAUCAACCGAGAUUCCCCCAGUAGCGGCGAGCGAACGGGGAGGAGCCCAGAGCCUGAAUCAGCAUGUGUGUUAGUGGAAGCGUCUGGAAAGGCGCGCGAUACAGGGUGACAGCCCCGUACACAAAAGCAUGUGCUGUGAGCUCGAUGAGUAGGGCGGGACACGUGGUAUCCUGUCUGAAUAUGGGGGGACCAUCCUCCAAGGCUAAAUACUCCUGACUGACCGAUAGUGAACCAGUACCGUGAGGGAAAGGCGAAAAGAACCCCGGCGAGGGGAGUGAAAAAGAACCUGAAACCGUGUACGUACAAGCAGUGGGAGCACCCUUUGGGGUGUGACUGCGUACCUUUUGUAUAAUGGGUCAGCGACUUAUAUUCUGUAGCAAGGUUAACCGUAUAGGGGAGCCGGAGGGAAACCGAGUCUUAACCGGGCGUUAAGUUGCAGGGUAUAGACCCGAAACCCGGUGAUCUAGCCAUGGGCAGGUUGAAGGUUGGGUAACACUAACUGGAGGACCGAACCGACUAAUGUUGAAAAAUUAGCGGAUGACCUGUGGCUGGGGGUGAAAGGCCAAUCAAACCGGGAGAUAGCUGGUUCUCCCCGAAAGCUAUUUAGGUAGUGCCUCGUGAAUUCAUCUCCGGGGGUAGAGCACUGUUUCGGCUAGGGGGCCAUCCCGGCUUACCAACCCGAUGCAAACUGCGAAUACCGGAGAAUGUUAUCACGGGAGACACACGGCGGGUGCUAACGUCCGUCGUGAAGAGGGAAACAACCCAGACCGCCAGCUAAGGUCCCAAAGUCAUGGUUAAGUGGGAAACGAUGUGGGAAGGCCCAGACAGCCAGGAUGUUGGCUUAGAAGCAGCCAUCAUUUAAAGAAAGCGUAAUAGCUCACUGGUCGAGUCGGCCUGCGCGGAAGAUGUAACGGGGCUAAACCAUGCACCGAAGCUGCGGCAGCGACGCUGAUGCGUUGUUGGGUAGGGGAGCGUUCUGUAAGCCUGCGAAGGUGU
rnacentral:rRNA from 1 species